UAACGCGUGAGUAACCUGCCUUACACAAGGGGAUAGCCUCUGGAAACGGAGAAUAAUACCCUAUGAAACUAUCUUAUCGCAUGAAAAGAUAGUCAAAGUGUUUUAGCGGUGUAAGAUGGACUUGCGUCUGAUUAGCUAGUUGGUGAGAUAACAGCCCACCAAGGCAACGAUCAGUAGCCGGCUUGAGAGAGUGUACGGCCACAUUGGGACUGAGACACGGCCCAG
rnacentral:rRNA from 1 species